AGCAGUAGCCGCGGGAAUACGAAGGGUGCAAGCGUUAAUCGGAAUUACUGGGCGUAAAGCGCGCGUAGGUGGUUUGGUAAGAUGGAUGUGAAAUCCCCGGGCUCAACCUGGGAACUGCAUCCAUAACUGCCUGACUAGAGUACGGUAGAGGGUGGUGGAAUUUCCUGUGUAGCGGUGAAAUGCGUAGAUAUAGGAAGGAACACCAGUGGCGAAGGCGACCACCUGGACUGAUACUGACACUGAGGUGCGAAAGCGUGGGGAGCAAACAGGAUUAGAUACCCCCGUAGUCCCUGUCUCUUAUAC
rnacentral:rRNA from 1 species